CUGAGAUUACAGGCGUGAGCCUGGCCUUAUUUUUUAGAGACAGACUUGCUCUGUUGCCCAGGCUGGAUGAGGUGAUGAGAUCAUAGCUCACUGCAGCCUUGGGCUCAAGUGGUCCUCCUGCCCCUGCCUCUUGAAUAGCUGGGACUGCAGUUCUGCACCACCACAUCCAGCUACGCGCAUGCUUUCUGAUGCCUGGUUCAGCAGACAUGGAGGCUAUGGGGGCUGUCUUGGGGUGAUCAUCGUGAGGAUGGCCUGGAAUAUUUAUGUGCAUGUGUGUAAGCAUGUGUCUCAAGGAGGCUCCAGGCUGCUGACCCCAGAGCCAGCUCUCUCCUUAUGAAAUAACACCUCUUAGAUCCAUAAGACUUUACAAAAAUUUUUAUUCUGUUUACACAGGACCUUGUCUCAUUCAAUCCUUCCAAUUACCAAAAGAAGCAGGCAAGACAAACUGUUACACCCAUUUUAUGGGUUAGAAUGAUUUACUCCAAGAGAGAUGCACUUGCCUAAGACCAUCAGCUGUAGAGCUGGGCUAAUCCCAGUGCAUGACUCUUCCAUGAAUUGUGUGUUAAUUAUUUAUUUAUUGAGAGAGGGUCUUGCUCUGUCCCCCAGGCUGUAGUACAGUGGCAUGAUCACAGCUCACUGCAGCCUCAACCACCUGGGCUGAAGUGAUCCUCCCACCUCAGCCCCACAAGUAACUGGGACUACAUGCACACACCACCACAUCUGGCUAAUUUUUGUAUUUUUUUUAGAGACGAGGUUUUGCCAUGUUGCCCAGGCUGGUUUUGAACUCCUGGGCUCAAGUGAUCUGCUCAUCUUGGCCUUCCAAAGUGCUGGGAUUACAGGUGUGAGCCACCGUGCCCAGCCCCAUUUAUUUCACGAACAACUAACUACUCACUGACCACCUAGCAUGUGUCAGCCACUGUCCCAGGAACUUCUACUCACCGGCUUGCUCUCCUGAGAGAAGUGUGUUCAAGGCCCCUGCCCCUGCCACUAAGGAUGAGUUUUAAGUGAUGGAAUUAACAAGCCACGACUCUACUGCACAUUAAAAGGCAGGUGGCAGCACAGUGUGGCAGUUAAGAGCUGUGCUCCUCGGCCGGCCGCAGUGGCUCAUGCCUGUAAUCCCAGCACUCUGGGAAGCCAAGGCAAGCGGAUCACCUGAGGUCAGGAGUUCGAGAUCAGCCUAGCCAAUAUGGUGAAUCCCUGUCUCUACUAAAAAUACAAAAAUUAGCUGGGUGUGGUGGCACACGCCUGUAGUCCCAGCUACUCGGGGGGCUAAGGAAGGAGAAUCGCUUGAACCCAGGAGGUGGAGGUUGCAGUGAGCCGAGAUCUCACCAUUGCACUCCAGCCUGGGCAACACAGUGAGACUCUGUCUUGAGAAAAAAAAAAAAAAAAAAAAAGUCGGCCGGGCGCAGUGGUUCACGCCUGUAAUCCCAGCACUUUGGGAGGCCGAGGUGGGUGGAUCACGAGGUCAGGAGAUCGAGACAAUCCUGGCUAACACGAUGAAACCUCAUCUCUACUAAAAAUACAAAAAAUUAGCCAGGCGUGGUGGUGGGCGCCUGUAGUCCCAGCUACUUGGGAGGCUGAGGCAGGAGAAUGGCAUGAACCCGUGAGGCAGAGCUUGCAGUGAGCAGAGAUCGCGCCACUGCACUCCAGCCUGGGCAACAAAGCGAGACUCCGUCUCAAAAAAAAAAAAAAAAACAUACACAUACACACACAAAAAGUCAGCUGGGGGUGGUGGCACACGCCUGUAAUCCCAACUACUGGGGAGGGUGAGGCAGGAGAAUCCCUUGAACCUGGGAGGUGGAGGUUGCAGUGAGCCAAGAUUGAGCUACUGCACCUCCAGCCUAGGCAACAGCGAGACUCUGUCUCUCUCUCCUACACACACACACACACACACACACACACACACACACACACACAAACACAAAGAAAAAAGAAAAAAAGAAAAACAAAAGAGCUGUGCUCCAGAGUCAGACUGUCCUUGAGUCCCAGCCCUGCCAUCCAGUAUGUCAAUUCCCUGUAUUUCCUCAUGCACAAAACAAGGGUAUAAUUAUGCCAGUCAUAUAGGGCUGUUGUAAGGAUUGACUGAGUUAAUAUAGGUAACGCAAUUACAACCCUGCCACUACACAGUAAGAGCCCAGCAAAUAUGAACUGCUACAAUUUUAAAGUUCCUUAGCAUUGUCUUGAAACAAGGGGAAGUUAAAACAAAACAAAAAAAAAGUCCCUGGCCGAGCAUGGUGGCUCACACUGGUAUUUCCAGCACCAUGGGAGGACAAGGCAAGCGGAUCACUCGAGGCUAGGAUUUCAAGACCAGCCUAGGCAACAUAGCGAGAACCUGUCUCUACAAAAAAAUUUAAAAAUUAGCAGGGCGUGAUGGUGCGUGCCUGUGGUCCCAGCUACUGGAGAGUCUGAGGCUGCAGUGAGCUAGAAUUUUGCCACCACACUCCAGCCAGAGCCACAGAGUCAGAUCCUGUCUCAAAAGAAAAAGGCUCUUUUAAGGUUGGGCGCGGUGGCUGACACCUGUAAUCCCAGCACUUUGGGAGGCCAAGGCGGGCAGAUCACCUGAGGUCAGGAGUUUGAGACCAGCCUGGCCAACAUGGUGAAACUCUGUCUCUACUAAAAAUACAAAAAUUAGCCAGGCGUGGUGGCAGGUGCCUGUAAUCCCAGCUACUCAGGAGGUUGAGGUGGGAGAAUCUCUUGAACCUGGGAGACAGAGGUUGCAGUGAACUGAGAUCGCGCCACUGCACUCCACUCUGGGUGACAGAGUGAGACUCCGUCUCAAAAAACAAACAAAAAAAGUCCUCUCCCAAGGCCAUGCUCCUGGUGGCAGCUGGCACCCAAAGGCUGAGCACUUGAGCAGAAUGGAAGCCUGACCACCUGCCCUGACUUAGAACAACUCUGCCGGGCUAAGCUGGCGGAGGCGCACACUGGGCUUGCAUUGCUGCUCAACCUCUCCCUCUGCUCCAGUCUGUCACCUGGGCCUGCUUUCCUGGGUGUUGAUCCCAGGAGCAACCACAAUAAAUGCCCUGCAUGUUGGCCUCUCCAAGCCGCUUCCCAAGGAACCCAACCUGUGACAGGCACAGCAGAUGCAGAGAUGACUAAGCCACAGUCUGGCCUUCAAGAAUGUCAAGGCCAAGUGGGAACUGCGAUCUCAUGCAGCUCGCUGGGGUUAGCACAAAGUGCAAUGAAGCCUGGUUGGAGGGGCUGGAAUUGAGGGAGUCCAGGCCCUACUGGGGACCAGCCAGGUUGCCCACGAAGGUGUUGGUGAGUGUGGUCUGGCCAGGAGAAACAGGGAGCCCAGGAUUUCACUGAAGAAUCUGUGGACUGAGGCCUAAUGUCAGCAGAGCAGCUCCAGAGUCAGCAGCUGUGGAAAGACAGCCCCCCAGCUAAGUGGGGUUUGGGAGUGAAGAGGAGGCUGCCGUGAUGCGCAGUCCAGAGUGAGCAGGAGUGACCUCCCACUCUUCCACGCCAGGUUCCUCUCUCUCCCUUCUCUGUCCUGUGCUUUCCGAAAUGGAGCUGGCUGACACCACGUUUUCCAUCCUUCAAACCAACUAUCUUCUGCUGACUCCCCUCUCACCUCCAAAAGCUAGGCCUUUCUCAGGGGCUCCAGUUCCUUGAUCCCGCCUCUCUGAAGUCCUGCAGCACCGGCCCGUAUUGCCAUACAUGCAGGCUGCUCACACGACUUUCAUGGAAUCAUAAAAUUGGAAGCCACCCCGGAGGCCCAUCUAGUGCUGCCUCCUACCUCAGGGAGGGCCCUUCUCUACAGCCUGUCAGGGCCGAACAGUCCCACUGACUGGGAACUCUCAGAAGACAGCCUGAGCUAGUCACUUUCCUUCCUUUGAGCCCAAACUGAUCUAUCUCUGGAGUCACUGAUUGAAAUAUCACUUCUUUUCCCAUAUGAUAGUCCUUCAAAUCAGAUGGUCACACAAGAGUCACUUUUUUGAGUGCUGAUACAUUGUUCUUGUCAGCAAAUCCUCAUAACAAUCCUAUAAAGAAACCAAGAAGGUGCUCAGAAAGGUUGAGGAAUUUGCUGUGGCUACCUUCUGCUACCAGCUGUGGUUAUUUCUGCUACCAGCAACAGAGCUGAGAUCUGAUAUUCGACUCCAACUCCAGUGCUCUUGAAGCACAAAAGCAGAUUUGGCAUCACAGAACCCUCCAGAUGCAUUCCCAAGGACUCUAAGGAGUUGAGAGAACUCCUCUAGGGUUCACUAUUGGUGAGGGGCUCAGAGGCUGGAAGCCUGGCAAGUAGGCAGGCAUGAUCCUAUAACGGAUGGCUCCCUGAUACACCCACCUGCAGGUCUGAAGUUGGAAGAGAAUUAUGAGGGCUGUGAGCAAGCUCUCUGGAGUGCUGAGCUAAGGGUGCCCAUGGCCACAGACAUGGGAGGAAGGAUGCCAAGGAGGCAGGCACAUUAGUCGUCCUUCUGCCAGCUUCACCAGUCCACAGAGCCUUGCUGUCUUUAUCUUCUUUAACCCCCGAAACAGGGCUCUCUCCCCGGCGACCCAUACCAUGCUACCCUCAGCAGCUCAGAGUUAAGAUUCUUUGGUCAAGCUUUUUUUUUUUUUUUCUUGAGAAGAAGUCUCGCUCUGUCGCCCAGGCUGAGUGCAAUGGCACGAUCUCAGCUUACUGCAACUUCCGCCUCCCAGGUUCAAGCUAUUCUCCUGCCUCAGCCUCUUGAGUAGCUGGGACUACAGGCAUGUGCCACCACACCUGGCUAAUUUUUGUAUUUUUAGUAGAGACGGGGCCUCCCUAUGUUGGCCUGGCUGGUCUUGAACUCCUGACCUCAGGUGACCUGCCCACCUUGGCCUCCUAAAGUGCUGGGAUUACAGGCGUGAGCCACUGCUCCUGGCCUGGUCGAGCUUUUUGACUACAAUCUGCAUGAAGGCGGCAAGUUCUUUCUGCUGACUUUGUUGUCACUGAGAGCAACGCAAUAUGUCUGUUUUAUUUUUUUCUUUUGAGAGAAGUGGUCUUGCUAAGUUUCCCAGGCUGGCCGCAAACCCCUGGGCUCAAGCAAUCCUCCCACCUUGGCCUCCCCAACAGCUGGGACUACAGGUGCGUACCACUGUGCUCAGCUCAAAUGUCUCUAUUUUAACGUCCUCUGCAUAACAAUGACAUAUAACAGCUAACUCCUCAAGAAAUAAUAUUUAUAAAUGAUACUACCUGUGUUCAACAUCUCUCCCCUCUUAAAGAUUGCUUCAUUUGAAAAGAAAGUGUUCUAUGCCUUCCUGUUAGACCCUGUCCUAAAUUCCCUAUUUCCCAGGCCCCUCCUAUAUGGUUAGAGGAAAUAUAAAGAACAUGCAAUCACCCAAGCAAAGUGAGGACAAAGAUGGUUUCUCUUCAGUGCUGAGUCUAGAGAGCAGAGAAGCAGGGCAAGCCGGAGCCAGAUAUGACUGGAGAAAGCAGCUGGCCACGUGUGAGGCCAGGUUACACAAUCAGUUCAACUGCCCAUCAGUGGGGGCUGUGACGACAGAACCCAAGACCCCUUCAGCUGAGGGAUACAAGUGCCAUAGGAAAACGCCAAUCCGAGAGUCCACAGCCCUCAGUAGGAGGCAACCACUGCCCAGGGAGCAGCAGACAUGAGGCAAAGGAGACGCGGGGAGAGAUUUAAUUUACAUAGCAGCCACUUGGGGUCCAGUCAGAGCUGGGGCAGUGGGGGAAUCUAUAACCC
rnacentral:lncRNA from 10 species